rnacentral:rRNA from 1 species
CAAUAGCGUAUAUUUAAGUUGUUGCAGUUAAAAAGCUCGUAGUUGGAUUUCGGAUGGGAUUUGCCGGUCCGUCGUUACGAUGUGCACUGGCCAGUCCUAUCUUGUUGUCGGGGACUAGCUCCUUGGAUUCACUUCCUGGGACUAGGAGCUGACGAGGUUACUUUGAGUAAAUUAGAGUGUUCAAAGCAAGCCUACGCUCUGAAUACAUUAGCAUGGAAUAACACGAUAGGACUCUGGCUUAUCUUGUUGGUCUGUGAGACCAGAGUAAUGAUUAAGAGGGACAGUCGGGGACAUUCGUAUGUCAUUGUCAGAGGUGAAAUUCUUGGAUUUAUGAAAGACGAACUUCUGCGAAAGCAUUUGUCAAGGAUGUUUUCAUUAA